rnacentral:rRNA from 1 species
UACGUAGGGGGCUAGCGUUGUCCGGAUUUAUUGGGCGUAAAGAGCGUGUAGGCGGCCAGGUAGGUCCGGUGUGAAAACUCGAGGCUUAACCUCGAGAUGUCAUCGGAAACCAUCUGGCUAGAGUCCGGAAGAGGAAAGUGGAAUUCCUGGUGUAGCGGUGAAAUGCGUAGAUAUCUGGAGGAACACCGGUGGCGAAGGCGGCAUCCUGGACCGGUAUUGACGCUGAGGCGCGAAAGCUAGGGGAGCAAACGGG